rnacentral:lncRNA from 1 species
GGUCAUCCAUCCUAGAAUUUCUUUACACCAAGCAUGUUUAACUUUGGAGUUCCUGCAACUCCACGGCCAAACAACCAAAAGGCACCACAUGUGAUUAGUUCCAACUCUUUACAUAUAUGUUAUCAAUCAUUCUCCGUCUCAUUUCGAUGUGCAAUUUGAUUUAUUUCAUGUAUUCCCGUAUCUUAGAAUGUUGUCAUCCUAAAAGCCUGUCAGAAACUAUUCAUUGUCCAAGCAUUUUAUCCUUGUCCCGGCGCCACUUUCCGCCCUCGUCGAAUCAUUUCUCUAGUCUAGCCUGUCACAUCAUCAGCCCAUUUUAUUUCAGUUGUCUGUCUGGUUAGACAUAGAAAAUCUUUUUAAGAUUAAUAUGCUUUAUAAUUCCACAAUUUUUCAAUUAUUCAAUUAAGCUACGAAGAUCAGCUUAAGGCCAUUUUUCAUGUACUUGCAUUAUUUUAAG